AUGGCGGCGAUCUCGCAGUUGCAGCGCAUCGCGGGGCCGGGCCAUGCCGGGGCGCCGCGGCCGGGAACUGUGAGGCGCGCCUCGGUCGCGGUCGCCGCGGGCAAGGCGCCGUUGCCGCGGCUGGAGGGCGCCAGCGAGGAGCUGAGGGCCGCGGCGGCGCAGAGCCUCGACUGGGCGCCGGCGCGCCGGCGCGUGCGCGGCGCCUUCGCGCCCGUGCUCCCCACGCUCGACCACUGCCUGUUCAAGAUGGCGCCCAAAGGAAUCCAGAUGGGGGAGAAUUUUGAGACCAAUUCAAAGGGAGUUGAAAUAUUCUGGAAGAGUUGGCUGCCUAGGGAGGGCACUCCCACCAAGGCAGCGCUUUUCUUCUGCCAUGGGUAUGGAGAUACCUGCACUUUCUUUUUUGAAGGGGUCGCUAAGAGAAUAGCCGCUGCUGGAUAUGCAGUAUAUGCUAUGGAUUAUCCUGGUUUUGGAUUAUCGUAUGGUCUUCAUGGCUACAUCGCAAGCUUCGAUGGGAUGGUGGACCAUGUCAUUGAACAAUAUGCGAGAAUCAGAGGAAGGAAAGACGUGCAAGGGCUCCCAUACUUUCUCUUGGGGCAGUCAAUGGGAGGUGCGGUUGCUCUGAAAGUACACUUAAAGCAACCAAAAGAAUGGGAUGGAGUGCUUCUUGUUGCGCCUAUGUGCAAGAUUUCAGAAGAUGUAACACCACCAGCACUAGUGUUGAAGGCAUUGAGCAUAUUAUCAUGCCUUCUUCCCGAAGCAAAGUUAUUUCCGCAAAAGGACAUAGGAGAUUUGGGAUUCAGGGAUCCAGUGAAAAGAAAAUUAUGUGAGUACAACGCGAUAUCAUAUAAUGACCAGAUGAGGUUGAGGACAGCAGUUGAACUUUUGAAGGCUACCAAGGACAUCGAAUCCCAAUUGGAAAAAAUUUGUUCUCCAUUGUUGAUUCUUCAUGGAGCAGCAGACCAGGUAACAGACCCUCAUGUGAGUCAAUUUCUGUACGAGAAGGCCAACACGAAAGACAAGACCCUGAAGCUCUAUGAAGGUGCCUACCACUCUAUCCUAGAGGGAGAGCCUGACGACCGGAUUUCAACCGCCAUCAAGGACAUCAUUUCGUGGCUGGAUUCACACUGUUGA
rnacentral:rRNA from 1 species